rnacentral:piRNA from 1 species
UGCUAUGUAUAAUGUUGUUACUUCCCUCCC